rnacentral:tRNA from 1 species
GGGCCGGUGAUCCAACCUGGUUAAGAUGUCGCCUUCGCAAGGCGGAAAUCUGGGUUCAAAUCCCAGCCGGUCCA